rnacentral:rRNA from 1 species
AGAGUUUGAUCCUGGCUCAGAACGAACGCUGGCGGCAGGCUUAACACAUGCAAGUCGAACGAGACCUUCGGGUCUAGUGGCGCACGGGUGAGUAACGCGUGGGAACCUGUCCUAUGGUUCGGGAUACCUCCGGGAAACUGGAGUUAAUACCGGAUGUCUCCUCCGGGAGAAAGAUUUAUCGCCAUAGGGUGGGCCCGCGUCCGAUUAGCUAGUUGGUGGGGUAAAGGCCUACCAAGGCUUCGAUCGGUAGCUGGUCUGAGAGGAUGAUCAGCCACACUGGGACUGAGACACGGCCCAGACUCCUACGGGAGGCAGCAGUGGGGAAUAUUGGACAAUGGGGGCAACCCUGAUCCAGCCAUGCCGCGUGAGUGAUGAACUUCGGGUUGUAAAGCUCUUUCAGGUGCGACGAUGAUGACGGUAGCCCAGAAGAAGCCCCGGCUAACUUCGUGCCAGCAGCCGCGGUAAUACGAAGGGGGCGAGCGUUGUUCGGAAUUACUGGGCGUAAAGGGCGCGUAGGCGGCGUACCAAGUCAGGCGUGAAAGCCCUGGGCUUAACCCAGGAAUUGCGUUUGAGACUGGUAUGCUAGAGUGCAGGAGAGGUCGGCGGAAUUCCCAGUGUAGAGGUGAAAUUCGUAGAGAUUGGGAAGAACACCGGUGACGUAGGCGGCCGACUGGACUGUAACUGACGCUGAGGCGCGAAAGCGUGGGGACAAACAGGAUUAGAUACCCUAGUAGUCC